CAGUCGCCGCGGGAAAACGGAGGAUCCAAGCGUUAUCCGGAUUUAUUGGGUUUAAAGCGCGCGUAGACGGUUUGGUAAGUCAGAUGUGAAAUCCCUGGGCUCAACCUGGGAACUGCAUUUGAUACUGCCUGGCUAGAGUAUCGAAGAGGGAAGUGGAAUUUCCGGUGUAGCGGUGAAAUGCGUAGAUAUCGGAAGGAACACCAGUGGCGAAAGCGACUUCCUGGUCGAAUACUGACGUUCAUGUGCGAAAGCGUGGGGAGCAAACAGGAUUAGAUACCCGAGUAGUCCCUGUCUCUUAUAC
rnacentral:rRNA from 1 species